rnacentral:rRNA from 1 species
GACGAACGCUGGCGGCGUGCUUAACACAUGCAAGUCGAACGGAAAGGCCCUGCUUUUGUGGGGUGCUCGAGUGGCGAACGGGUGAGUAACACGUGAGUAACCUGCCCUUGACUUUGGGAUAACUUCAGGAAACUGGGGCUAAUACCGGAUAGGAGCUCCUGCUGCAUGGUGGGGGGUGGAAAGUUUCGGCGGUUGGGGAUGGACUCGCGGCUUAUCAGCUUGUUGGUGGGGUAGUGGCUUACCAAGGCUUUGACGGGUAGCCGGCCUGAGAGGGUGACCGGCCACAUUGGGACUGAGAUACGGCCCAGACUCCUACGGGAGGCAGCAGUGGGGAAUAUUGCACAGUGGGCGGAAGCCUGAUGCAGCAACGCCGCGUGCGGGAUGACGGCCUUCGGGUUGUAAACCGCUUUCGCCUGUGACGAAGCGUGAGUGACGGUAAUGGGUAAAGAAGCACCGGCUAACUACGUG